AUGGUCCGUGACGUGACAGAACGUACAGUCAGUCAAUCAUAUCGAGCUCCAGCGGCAGACAGUCAGUGCGCGAGAGAUAAAAAGAGGUUAAAUCUGCUGAAGAAAAAGACGAGGUCACACAUCUGGACGAAGCCGCUUACCUGCUCACAGAAUUCGAUGGAUGUGCGUCUCCUCGUCCUGUCCUGGUUAUCCUGGGCGCUGACGAGCAGGACGGCCCUUAUCUGGAGCACAUGGGGUCUGGACCUCUUCCUCCACCACUCCUUCAAAAGGCUGGUGUUUUCAGCACACUCAUCUUUUGCUAGGAAACAUGUCUGGAAACAAAUCCAAGGGGUUACCGGCAGCACGGCUUGAAGGAAGACAUGUCACAUUGAAGGACGAGAAGACUGUGUGUGAGCGCUGUCCCACAUAGCUACACUUCAGCACUUCAUUAGCAACGUUGAGCUCAGUAUUUGAGCCAGGAACUUUUAGAUAAAUCAUAAAAUAUGUAUCUGUGUUACUAUUGCUCAUUUCAGUUAGUGCAGUGGUUCUCAAAAAAAAAAAAAAAAAAAAAAGUGUUGGACCUAUGAAGUCACUUUGUAAGCCCUUCUGGUUCAAUCACCCCAAAGUCAAUGUUUUUUUUUAAUAGGAUUUUGGCUAAAUCCCCUAAAAUAAGGUCCAUGGUUAACACAAUCUCACGUUUAAUUCUAUGUCAUAAAACACACCAGUUUCACCCCACUCAUGAUUUUUUUCUCGGUUGCUAACAAGUUGCUAAAUGGGACUACAGGCAUUGGCAGAGACAUUAAAUGUCAUAACGCAUGAAUAGUUUUUUCCAGUUGUGGUAUUUUCGCAUUUCUAGUGCAAUUAAUUUUAGAAUAACCAAUGAAUAGUAAAUGAAUAAUAAACCAUUCGACAAUGGUUUUUUGCUUUCCCCCGAAAUGCAACUACAAGUCUUUGGAUGGAAGAUGCACGUUUUAUCACUUUCCUACAGAUGCAGAUCUGGGUUCGCACCAUGAGGUAAACUCAUAUUUCGAUUAUUCAGUGUAAACACCGGCUUUACAUGGUCACGGUGAUGCAUAGUGCUUAAAGCCACGCUAAAAUUAAAUGUUUACAACCACAUGAAGCUGUUAGAAAACAGAAAGAUGAGGAUUAUCUAAAAGCAAAGAAAAAAAUAUAUUUUGUAUAACCACCCUAACAAAAUGAUUGAUGAAAUACUUUAUUCACUAAAAUAAAUUUAAUCUUACCAUAUCCAAAACCUUGCUCACUCUCGUUAUUUAAUUGAUUAAAGGCACUAGAUUUUUUAUUGAAUACUAUGUGGAGACACGUUUUUAAUUAAAAUAUUCAUAUUAAUCAAGGAUUUAUUGACUUUUAAUGCAUCUGAUUUCAAAAUAUAUCACUCUCAGAAAAAAAGGUACAAAGUCUGUUACUGGGAUGGUGCAUUUUCAAAAGGUACACUUUUGUACCUUUUAGGUUCUAAUAUGUACCUUUAUGGUACCAAUAUGGACUCUUUUAGUUUAGGGACCAAUUCUCACUGUUAACUUUUGCUUAUUAGCAUGCAUAUUAAUAUUACUAGCAUAUUGGCUGUUUAUUAGUACUUAUAAAGCACAUAUUAAUGUCUUAUUCUGCAUGACCAUAUUCUACAUCUCUUAAUCCUACAACAUACCUACACUUAACAACUACCUUACUAAAUAUUAAUAAGCAGCAAGGAGUUUAUUGAGGCAAAAGUCAUAGGUAAUAGUGAUAACGUCCCCAAACUAAAGUGUGACCAUAAAAGCUUAUAACUCUGCAGGCAAUUUUAUAUUGAAUAUAAUUUUUUU
rnacentral:lncRNA from 12 species